GUCACCCCUAGAGUGGUUGCAGGUGUAAGUGUUCUGUCACAUGUGCAUCAGUAGGUGGGAGAGAAGAGAGAGGCUGUGUCUACACUGAGUGUUCUGAUCUGUAAACACCUGAGUGAUUAGUAGCCUAACAUU